GUUGAACGCUGGCGGCGUGCCUAAUACAUGCAAGUCGAGCGAACGCACGAGUAGCUUUGUCCUCUGAUGGUAGCGGCGGACGGGUGAGUAACACACGGAUACCCUCCCUAUAAGACUGGGAGAAAAACGGGAAACCGUAGCUCAUACCGGCUAAUGAUUUGAACCGCAUGGUUCAAAACUGAAAGACGGUCUUGCGGCCGAUUAUAGAUGGAUCCGCGCUGCAUUAGCUAGUUGGUAAGGUAAAGGCUUACCAAGGCAACGAUGCAUAGCCGACCUGAGAGGAUGAUCGGCCACACUGGGACUGAGACACGGCCCAGACUCCUACGGGAGGCAGCAGUAGGGAAUCUUGCGCAAUGGGCGCAAGCCUGACGCAGCCAUGCCGCGUGAGUGAUGAAGGUCUUCGGGUCGUAAAACUCUUUUAUUCGGGAAGAACAUAUGUGUUAUUAACUGUGCACGUCAUGACGGUACCGAAUGAAUAAGCCCCGGCUAACUACGUG
rnacentral:rRNA from 1 species